AUGAGAUGAAAUUCCAGAGAGGUUUAACAUGUUGACAUUGGAAAAACAUAUGCAUUGUAUUUCCUUCUUCUUCUUUGCACCAUGGGCACUGUCCUGAUGAGAUGACUUUCCAGAGAUUUAGUCUUCUAGGAGUAACAAGAGAGUUGUGAAGAAGUCUCCAUGUAAUAUCGGAGUCUCUUCUGUCCGUUGGAUAUCUGUAGAUAACAUCCCACUUGAUGGGCUUGUCAAGCCAGGAAAUUUUCUUUCUUCAUUUGAUGGUUGAGCUUUGAACUUGAAUUGGAUUGGCGAUUCUUCUAGAGACAUCUUCUUGGCAAGAAAAUUUUUAAUUUGAGUGAAAUUGUUUUUGAUUCUCCUCUGGGUUGGUGCUGAGAGGUUUUGAAUUUCCAAGUCCGCCCAAUUUCCUUGAGAGGUGCGUGAGUCCCACUCCACCUAAUUCUGUGUUUGAAAAAA